GUUUUUUAAUUUUGGUGAAGUUUUCAUGAAGUUUACCGGUUGAAGUAAUGAUAAUGAAAUGGAAGUUUAUAAGUGACAGUACUGAGUAAUGAGAAUAAAGGAAUGAAAAGAGAAUUAAAGCAGUUGGACUGCGAAGUGAACUUUUAGAAGGAUAGGGAAUUUGGUCAUUUUGUGGGUUCAAGUCCCGUUGGUCAUUUGGUCUACGUGUGAUGGUCAUUUUUGUGGGUUCAAGUCCCCUAUGUCCACAACGGGAGAUCUGCCUCAAUCUUAUCCGGCUCCGGGUGUAGAUUGUUGUUUCAAAUUAUUGUAAAUUUUUCUAGGACGACAGCGGCGUCUGUUAAGAAGCGCAUUUUCUCCUUGGUAACGCUUGCGCUAAGACAGGACGCUGAUCUUAGACCUACUAGGACAGUAGGGAUAGUACCGUCGACAGCGGGGGAGAGGUUGGGAAACUCCGAAAUUGCUAGGGGUUCAAGUCCCCUAUUCUUGCGCUUAUUGGGUAUGCUGGCAAAUUAUGUUAGGUUUAGAAAUCUGGACAGGACAGUCUGGGACCGCCCUGGUGAAUUGAGCACAAAAAGUCUGGGACUGAUCGGUUGGAGCCGUUAUGUUCUAUUAUCGAAAUUACAUAGGAGUUGAAAAGGCCUAAAAAAA